UCGGGGUUAGUGGCGGACGGGUGAGUAACACGUGGGAACGUGCCUUUAGGUUCGGAAUAGCUCCUGGAAACGGGUGGUAAUGCCGAAUGUGCCCUUCGGGGGAAAGAUUUAUCGCCAUUAGAGCGGCCCGCGUCUGAUUAGCUAGUUGGUGAGGUAAAGGCUCACCAAGGCUACGAUCAGUAGCUGGUCUGAGAGGAUGAUCAGCCACACUGGAACUGAGACACGGUCCAGACUCC
rnacentral:rRNA from 1 species